UCAGCAGUCAAGAAUAUUAGUCAAUUCUGGAAAGAGUGAACUAGCUAACUGAAAUCAAUUAUAAAAUUGAUAACAUAAGGGAAAAUAAUGAUAUUUCCUUAUAAUUAGUGUCGUCCAAAUCUGGUGCCAGAAGACUCGGUAAGGCCAGAGACACGAACGUUAAUCGUCUUAAUCAGGCGUAAAGGGUUUGUAGGCGGCUUUAAAUUUAUUUAUACAAAAGUAAAGAAUAAAAGCUAGAAUCAAAUAGAGGAUAAGUUAAAUAAUGCUUAGAGUAGGUCUGAUAUCCUUAGAUACUAAGUAGAAUAUUAAAGGCGAAAGCUUUUUUCCAUUAAUGAUUGACGCUCAGAAACGAAGGUGAGGAUAGGAAAUAGGAUUAGAUACCCAAAAUACCCCUCUCUGUCAACGAUGAAUGGUAGUUAUUAGUAAUAAAUUAUUAAUGGCAAUGUUAACACGAUAACCAUUCCGC
rnacentral:rRNA from 1 species